GGAUUGUGGCUCAGUGGUAGAGGGCUUGUCUGUCAUGUGUGAGGCACUGGGUUUGAUUCUCAGCACCA
rnacentral:tRNA from 1 species